GUCUACGGCCACGCCACCCCGAACACGCCCAAUCUCAUUUGAUCUCAGAAGCUAAGCAGAGUUGGGCCUGGUUAGUACUUGAAUGGGAGACCACCUAGGAAGACCGGGUGCUGUAGGCA
rnacentral:rRNA from 1 species